rnacentral:rRNA from 1 species
UAAGGAAUAUUGGUCAAUGGACGCAAGUCUGAACCAGCCAUGCCGCGUGGAGGAUGAAGGUCCUCUGGAUUGUAAACUUCUUUUAUCUGGGAAGAAAUCCAUUUUUCUAGAAUGGUUGACGGUACCAGAUGAAUAAGCACCGGCUAACUCCGUGCCAGCAGCCGCGGUAAUACGGAGGGUGCAAGCGUUAUCCGGAUUCACUGGGUUUAAAGGGUGCGUAGGUGGGUAAGUAAGUCAGUGGUGAAAUCUCCGGGCUUAACCCGGAAACUGCCAUUGAUACUAUUUGUCUUGAAUACUGUGGAGGUCAGCGGAAUAUGUCAUGUAGCGGUGAAAUGCUUAGAUAUGACAUAGAACACCAAUUGCGAAGGCAGCUGGCUACACAAAUAUUGACACUGAGGCACGAAAGCGUGGGGAUCAAACAGGAUUAGAUACCUGGUAGUCCACGCCUAAACUAUAGGAUACUCGAC